rnacentral:rRNA from 1 species
UACGGGGGGAGCAAGCGUUGUUCGGAUUUACUGGGCGUAAAGGGCGCGUAGGCGGCCACCGCAAGUCGACUGUGAAAUCUCCGGGCUCAACUGGGCGGGGUCAGCGGAUACGGUGUGGCUCGAGCAAGCUAGGGGGCAAUGGAAUUCCCGGUGUAGUGGUGGAAUGCGUAGAUAUCGGGAGGAACACCAGUGGCGAAGGCGGUUGCCUGGAGCUUUGCUGACGCUGAGGCGCGAAAGCGUGGGGAGCAAACAGG